AGAGACAGGGAAGACAACUAUUCACACAGCCAGGCAGCUGUCUCAUCUACAAAGGUGCCAGCACUGAAUCUGGGUGGGAUAUAAACGCUGCUCCUUGCUGCCUCUCAAAUGAGACCAGUUCAAAAAGUGGAGGUUGCUCAUGGAUGGUCUCAGGAGGAGCAAGAUAUUCCACCCCCUAUGGAGGACUUCACCCAAACUAGAGCAGAGCAAUUAAAUCGAGCUAAGUGGUCACAGCCUGCUAAAGAAAUAACAUGAAACACACAGAGAACUGCAAACAACCAAGUAAAAUGACUCACAUUCACACUAUGUUCAUAUAUUCCCACUAAAGAAAUCUUAGUCCACAGCUUAAGACUCCAUGGUGUCCAAUAUACAUUAACUGUGAGUCUCUCACUCAUCCUUGACAAACCUAUGCAUAAGAAACCUCUGCAGCAGAGCUUAGUAUACAACAGUAAAAAGUAUUAGACUUCUUUUUUGUGAACACUGCUGGUGUGGGAGCAGUCUGUUAAAAGCAAUAAGGAAGCAUUUACAGCCUCUGGACCAGGUGCUGGAGCUAAAAAUGAGAAGAAAAAUGGCUGAGUGAAGACUGGUAAUUUGGACUGGGAGCUUAGCAUUAGUUUCUUAGAGCUAAAGUCUGGAUGGGAAACCAGCAGUGGAAGCAAUAAGUGUUGGGAGUAGGAGAUGGUAACUGGAACUGGCUGUGGUUGGAGGCUCAUGCUGGAACAAGGCUCUUGGGCAGGGAGACAGAGGAGAGCUAGAAGAGUCAGGCAGCUCCGUGCAUGUCAGCGUUUACUCCUGUCAAGCCUGCAGCGAAGCCAGUGAGUCUUGAGGCCUACCAUUCCUCAGCUGCCAGCAAUGUUCAUGAAACCUCUUGCAUUUUUGCUGCUGUUAAUGGUAAGUACAUCAGACUGACUCGCUGGGUCAGACCAUCUAACCCAAUAAUAUCCUGUCUCCUCCCACAGCCAGCAGUAAAUGCCAAGGGAAGAGCACAAGAACAGACCCACAAAGUGAAGCUGGACUUGGCAAGUCAUGAGCUCCAGCAGAAUGGAGAUACACGGCACUGCCUUCAGGACACGGAUAAAAUGGCAAGGAGCUGA
rnacentral:lncRNA from 1 species